GAUGAACGCUGGCGGCGUGCCUAAUACAUGCAAGUCGAGCGAACAGACGAGGAGCUUGCUCCUCUGACGUUAGCGGCGGACGGGUGAGUAACACGUGGAUAACCUACCUAUAAGACUGGGAUAACUUCGGGAAACCGGAGCUAAUACCGGAUAAUAUAUUGAACCGCAUGGUUCAAUAGUGAAAGACGGUUUUGCUGUCACUUAUAGAUGGAUCCGCGCCGCAUUAGCUAGUUGGUAAGGUAACGGCUUACCAAGGCAACGAUGCGUAGCCGACCUGAGAGGGGGAUCGGCCACACUGGAACGUGGACACGGUCCAGACGCCUACGGGAGGCAGCAGUAGGGAAUCUUCCGCAAUGGGCGAAAGCCUGACGGAGCAACGCCGCGUGAGUGAUGAAGGUCUUCGGAUCGUAAAACUCUGUUAUUAGGGAAGAACAAAUGUGUAAGUAACUAUGCACGUCUUGACGGUACCUAAUCAGAAAGCCACGGCUAACUACGUG
rnacentral:rRNA from 1 species